UACGGGGGGGGGCAAGCGUUUGUUCGGAAUUACUGGGCGUAAAGGGUUCGUAGGUGGCCUACUAAGUCAGACGUGAAAUCCCUCAGCUUAACUGGGGAACUGCGUCUGAUACUGGGGGGCUUGAGGACAGGAGAGGAACGCGGAAUUCCAGGUGUAGCGGUGAAAUGCGUAGAUAUCUGGAGGAACACCGGUGGCGAAGGCGGCGUUCUGGACUGUUCUGACACUGAGGAACGAAAGCCAGGGGAGCAAACGGG
rnacentral:rRNA from 1 species